ensembl:lncRNA
AACGUUUCAUCGCAGAGCAUCCACGCUGAACCAGACGUUGAACUACAUUUCCCUACGACUGAGGGUAAAUGGGCGUGUAGAUACGGUGACCGUUUCCGCAUAAAUAGCGCCCUCUCCCGCUGUAUCAUCCUCUUUCGGCUGCUCUCCUCGCUCAGAGACUUAUCUCCACACGAUGAGAGCCAAGGUAAGCCAAAUAAAAUAAAUUGUUUUUUUCGGUCGUCCUUAAAAUGGUUCCUGACAAUGGACCCUGCAGUCAUCAGGGUACCGCUGUCUCCCCUUUUACUAGUUACGAAUGGCGUAUUAGUAUUACUUUUAUUUGCUUAACAUAGCCGACGGUCAGAAUGAGCCUUUUAACAUUAUUAAUACCUGUGCAUAUCUUUGAACUAACCUGUUUUAUUCAUGUUAAUAUGAAGCUACCCGUUGUGGUUGCACUGGGCCCGCCUCGCUGCUUUAGGCUAACUGUUAGCUUCAGAUAGCUCAUACCAACAUCACAUGCAGGACCUCAAUGCACCCUGUCGUUUGAGGCGUACAUUUAAGAUUUUAUAUUAAAGGUUUUGGUUGGCCAUAGGCGGCAGAGGAUUUCUGCUCCAUAACACUGUAUGUCCAUAACAUCACUCCCUGUUACUGUAACAGUGAUAGGGAGUCAUGUGAUAUGUUAUGUUAUAGUAACUUACUAUAACUUGCCUAUAACACGGUGUUGUGAACAUUUCUUAAUCACACGGCCUGUCCAUAAGAUCUUGUUUAAAGACACAAUAACACUUGUCUUUAACACUGUUACUAUAGCUUGUCUUCACGGGGUGAUGCCUAACGUGUGCUGUUUUUGUUUUUCAGUGGAGGAAGAAGCGCAUGCGCAGACUGAAGCGUAAGAGGAGGAAGAUGAGGCAGAGGUCAAAGUAGACGCCCUCUCCCAGCAGCUGUUCCUGUCCUGUGUGGUGAAGCGGUGAUCGGGCCAGGCGUCCAGAGUGGAAGCAGCAUGCGUGGAGCCAGUCUUCAAGAAAGAAUACGGCCCAGCGCUGGAUUGACACACUGACCCUGGACCAGCAGAUGUGGAUCUCUGCGGGACGAACCAAUCUUUUAACACCAGAACCAAAGCUGUUUUUAACGCCAUAAUAAACUUUGGUUACCACAUAACUGAAUCUGUGUGAUACUUGCUCAUUCGACAAAUAAGCCCCAGUCAAG